rnacentral:rRNA from 1 species
UACAGAGGUCUCAAGCGUUGUUCGGAUUCAUUGGGCGUAAAGGGUGCGUAGGCGGCGCGGUAAGUCGGGUGUGAAAUCUCGGGGCUUAACUCCGAAACUGCAUUCGAUACUGCCGUGCUUGAGGACUGGAGAGGAGACUGGAAUUUACGGUGUAGCGGUGAAAUGCGUAGAUAUCGUAAGGAAGACCGUGGCGAAGGCGGCCACCGUGGA